GGUCUGUUAACCUUCAAGGAUGUGGCCUUGGACUUCUCACUGGAGGAAUGGGAAUGUCUCAAUUUUGCUCAGAGGUCAUUGUACAUGCAUGUGAUGUUGGAGAAUUACAACAAUUUAUUGUUUGUGGAAAAUCAUUGCAUAUGUGGAAAGCAUAGGAAGUUCUUGGAUCAAGACACCAAGUGCAUUGUCCAUAAGCAAAUGAAUAUUCAAGAGAACUCUUCUAAAUGUAACAAACUUAGCAAUGUGAUUUUUGAAUCCACCGAAAGUAUACCUCAUAAAGCUAACCUCAGUGAUACCUCUCAUCAAUUUUCAAACCGAAAAAGACAUAAACUUGGGAACACUAAAAAAGCUUGCAAAUACAAAGACUGUGCAAACUGUUUAAAUGUGUGUUCUGUUAUUAGUCCCAAUGAAGGAAUCCACCUGGAAAAGAAAGAACACACACGAAGUACAGAUUUUGAUAAAGUUUUUGUCUCUAAACAUAAACUCAUGGUGAAACUAAACAAUAGUGGUGUGAAAACUUACAAAUAUAGUGAAAGUGACAAAUGCUUUACCCAUCAAUCCCAUCUUAGUGUUCAUCAAGGAAUUCAUACAGGAGAGAAACCUUACAAAUGCAGUGAAAGUGAUAAAUGCUUUACUGACAAAGUUAGUCUGACAAGUCAUCAGAUAAUGCAUACAGGAGAGAAACCUUACAAAUGCACUGGAUGUGAUAAAUUCUUUACUGACAAAGCCAAUCUGAGAAGGCAUCAGAGAAUUCAUACAGGAGAGAAACGUUACAAAUGCAGUGAAUGUGACAAAUGCCUUACCCAAACAUCCCAUCUUAGUAUUCAUCAGAAAAUACAUACAGGGAGAAACCUUACAAAAAUGCAGUGAAUGUGACAAAUGCUUUACCUACAAUGUUAGUGCAUGAAGGCAUCAGAUAAUUCAUACGGGAAAAAACAAAACCUUACAAAUAUUUUGUACCUGAUAAAUGCAUUAUCUAAAACAUCACACUGACAAAUCAAGAGAUAUUUUAUACAGUAGAACAACUGUAUAAAUGAAGUGAAGGCGAU
rnacentral:lncRNA from 1 species